GUCAUAUUUAUAAUAUUAUCGAUUGAUUACAUUAUUGAUUUGACUAAGAAAACAAGAAAAUAAUAAGAAUGACGAUAAAGGAAAAAUAAUCUUCCGUCCGGGUUAUAAAAAUUCAAAUCAAGUUUCUAAAUGAUUGAAGGAAAAUAAUGAUGUUAUUUUUAAUUUUUUUUAAUGUCAUUCCUGACAUGAUUUUUUUAACAUUAUCAAAAUAGGUCAUGUUCCUAAACAAAAUAAGCUAAUGUAGUGGUCAGUUUUAAACAAAGUGCUAUAGAGGGGUUCUAUGAGUCUAUUCUUUCAAAGAUGAUCAUUGCUACAAAAUAUAAUGAUACAUACAUAUGGAGUAAAGAAAUUUACAAGUCUCAUUCAUAUAUGAUAAUGUACUACUCUGUACAGAGCCCCAAACUAAAACAAAAGAUAGGGAAGCAAAAAGUUAAGAACAAUAAGUGGAAACCUAAAAUAUGAUGGGUGACCUUAUCAACAUUUUCUUCCAAUACAUAUUUCACAUAACCAAACCAUUAUCUCCAGCACAAGCAACAUAGUUUAGUGUAGUCAGUUCUAUUCAAAAUCUAUUAUUUGUUGUACAACGGAUUUCAGCUUCAAAAGGCAUUUGAGUCGUCAAAGGUGAAUUCCCCAUGUAAGCACAUCUGGUUCUGCAUGUAGACAUAAACAUUUAAGUUCCGAUUCACUUGCCCCUGGCCACGUAUCUGCGAAAAUGGAAAUCCAUUUUGCAUAUCUUGCAAGUCAUGACUGACAGGGCCAUUUCGGUUUAGGCUGAUGUUCCGACUUCUGACCUAUCCACGUUAUCACAUCUUCUGACAAACUGGUCAAGAGUUCUCUGCCUUGAAGGGCUAUGCUCAAUAGUAGUAUGCUUUGCAGGGCUACUCAAUGGCUGAUUAUUUGGCACAACUAAGGUGUUCUCAUGGCCAUCUAAACAUCUGAUUUUUCAAUAACUGAAAUUCAGAAUGGUUUCUCAAAAACAUCAAAAAGUAACUCUCAAAUACUACUUGAGUAUAAAUCUUGACAAAAUAUGAAUAUAAACCAGAAUGGAAACCUUGUAGCUAAGCAUUAUGUACAUUUUGCAUUACAUAUGAUAGUUCAAGAAGAUGUAGAAAUGUACCUGCCCCAAAUUAUCCAGUUUGAAUUGCACCACAUCCCUAUGAUGUAAAAAUUUAUAUCAUCAAUGCAUAAUAAAUGUUAAGUCAAUGCUAUACCAAACAGCGAAAGACUGCAGAAAUAACAGAACCUACCAUAUGAUGUCGUGAACCGUAUCAUUUGCCAACAAUUAGUAUAUAUUUACUGAUGAGACCUGCAAACAAGAACUAACUAGUCAUAAAAACAGAAGAGCACAUGUUGUCUUUGCUACUCAAAAAUUUAGAUGUGAGAGUUCUUUUCAUUUGAGAUUAUCUGUUUUCUUAAUGUUGUCAUGCAACUAGUAACAACUCUCUCCUUUCUACUUAAUGAGUGUGAGAAUACCAGGCCAAUUCUAUGAGCACGAUCUUUGGCCUGAAUCAGGUCACCUGGAGUCCAGGAUUGUUCUGCAAAGCUUGCAGCAGUUAAAGUUAAUCCAACUCCCCCAGCUUUAACGGAUAGCUGCAUGAUAACGUGUCACAUGAAAUCAUUAUCACAAAUACUAACCCAUACAACAGAAAAGAUGCUUAUAACGGAAACAAUUGGAAGAAAUGCACAACGAAAAAUACCACCAUACCACAGCCGCUUUGAUAUAAUCCUUUUCCUAAAAAUCUAACCAAUUGUUGCCUUCAUGCACCGGGUGUACCUCCAUCAAUCCGGAUGCAACCCACUUUUUUCUUCUGGAAAUUUUCAACAGUUUUUUAAGUGUCUAUAAUUUCCAAUAUAAAAAAAAAAAUGAGUAAAAUUGAAAUGGUCUUACAAGAAGGCACUCAUGUAUCGCAUCUAUCAUUGGCUGAUGGUGCGCAAAUAUAAAAAACUUGCAACCUGCCUGCAGUGAUCACAACAUAUUACACGUGAUAACCACCACUAGCCCAUAUGAAAUAGAAAGAUGGAAGCAAGAGAAAAAAAAUUGAAGCAAUCAAACUUUCAAAUUAAGCAUACACAAUGAUUUGGGGCGACAGGAAGAUGGAUGAAAUAUAAGAAUUAACACAUAGUCUAGUUUACAGUUCGUGUUUGUUUUGGUCACCACUCAGACCAGCCAACGUUGAAACCAAUAAUAAUUGUGGCAUACGUAUUAAAAUGUCAUAUGCUGACAUUUUCACUACACUGUUCGGCCAAUUUAAUUCAUUCAACUUAUGGUCCUACAUUAAGGGGCACCGACUGCAAUAAAAGCAAUAAGAAAAGACCAAUUUAACCAACAUUGAACAUAUUUUAAACUAUUGGAUGAUAAAAAACCAUGCAUCAUGGAAGCACACCAAUCAAAGGAGAUGGCAGGGAAACUAGAGAAGUUGAGAACCUAACUUGACUUUCUUAUAGUACAUACAGGUGCAGUCACUAAUUAUAUAUCAUGAUUCAGUUUUGAUCAUAUACCAGUCAAAAUGAUUUAAACUACUCCAAUAUUGGCCAAGGCCUGAGAAAAUGUUGCAGUAAAAACUAUAGACCUAUCAUAGUUCUAGGUAAUAAGAAAAACUUCCAAACAAAUUGUACAAGUCAAGAUUAUGUUCAGGGCUUCGUCCAUGCAAACCUUGUUAAUCAGAUUCUUUUGAGUAAAUUUAAGAGAUUCAGACUCAUCUUUUGAUUUGGGAGACUUAAUUUUGUCUUUUACCACCUCCAACUGCAGUAUAAAAAAGAGAAACCAAUAUUGAUUAGAUUUUACCACCUCAGACGCAAACCAAAUAUGGAGAGCACAUAUUACCAUUUCCAAGUCAAAUAACCUAAUUUUAGAAAGAAAACUUACCACAAUCUUACCAAUAAAAAUUGGUGAGCAAAUUUUUGAACCAUUUUCAAAGUGGAAGUUUUAGUAAAAUACUCAUAAUCUAAACAACAAUCACAUAGUUCAAAUAAAUGAAAUCCACAGUCCACUUUUUUGAAUAUCAAUAACCCUAUAAAAUGUAAAUAGAAAAUAAUUUUAUAUGCCCAAAAUAAGCAUGUUGUCAAGACAUACAAGAAUUAUGUUCCAUAACUAACAUAAAUAACCAGAAUAUUGUCAAGACAUACAAGAAUUCUGUUUCACAACUAGUUCAAACAUAAAUAACCAGAACUGCAUGAUGCUAUACUAGUCUCGAGAUAUAGAUGCAAAACACACAGAGAUACCUUUCUUUUGCAUUCCAAGAAGAUCUAGGGAUUCUCCGAAAAGCAGAAAUUAUUACCUGCCAUGAAACAUAGCCUAUAAAGAAUGAGUAUGCAGGAACUUGUUCAAGGCCAAAGACAUAGCCCCUAAUUAUGGAAAAUUCAAAUUUUUCGAUAGAAAUAUAAAAUACAAUACUCUUGAUGAAGUUAGCAUGUGAAACCUGGUCAUAUUGGAAUUUCACCGCAACAUGCCCACUGAAAUGAAGAAAAAGUUUGACCGAAAACUUCGGCAGUUCUUUAGAAGGCUCAUCUGGUUAUAUAUAAAGCCACAUAUUCAGCUUGUUUUCAGAGUUAUUACCACUUCCUGAACACAUAUUCAGCUUGUUUAGAAGCCACUUGAACCCCUUGGCAGCUUCAAUUCCAACUAUGAUGGAAAAUCCAACAAGAAAUAAGCCUGGGAAACCACAUUUGCAAAACAAACCCACUCAAUAAUGCUAAAUGCUAAUCAUCCUGCAAUCUUAUUUCCAUCAUGUCAAAUGAGAGAAUGUCAUUUAAUUCUGCUGAAGUUUGCAAAAUUGUUUAGAGAUGAUUCACUCAUUUUUUUCCCUAAAUCUUUACCCUAUGUUAUGUGACAUCCUAGACAAAAGAAAGUUCUAUAUAUGUUUAUUGUUAUGUAAUCCUUGUUCAGAUGGCCAUAAAUCCUGAAAUGUUCACACGCUAGUAUAGUUCAGCAACCACGAACCAAAUCUUAACAACUGUUCUCAAAGAAUCCAAAAUUCCAACCAUACAAAAAGAAAGGCAAAAGAAAUAAAGGAUGAUCAAGGGGAGAGAAUGAAACAUGCACUAUUCAACCAACAACCAGACAGUAGCAACUGAGAAUAAGUUACAUGGCUAGAAAAGUAAAUGCCAAAUUCAACUGAAGAUGCCAGUCUAGGGCAGUAUCAAAGCAAUUUGCUUAAAUGGCAUAGAUUUAGAUACACCAUCCACCCACCUCCGGCACAUGGAAAUAGAGCAUAUGCACUUGAAAAUUUUUAAUGAUUUCUUACAUAUGUGCAGUGACACAAUUUUAUUAAUUUGUUUGUUAUAGUCUUUAGUCUCAUUGACCACAACGGAAAUAGAAGGCCAUAUGCAUGUCCACACACAUAAAAUCUCAAGCAAUAACGUCAAUUUGGGAAAAAUAUUCAAAAUCAGUCUCCAAAAAUUACUACAGCUGUAAAUAUGAUCCAAAAGCAAUAACGUGAAAUCAGUGAUCCAAGUAAAUAUUAGAAUCAUCGAUCAACAAGGGGCUUAUUCAAAUCAACUACAAAGUUCUGUGCCAUCAUCUUGGUAUUGAAUAUGGACAGAGGAUUUGGGUUGAAAUUCAGACGAGGGUUGAAGUUUGGGAGGAUUUGGUUUUGAAACUAAGAGAAACUAAGCACUUCGAAAAAAAAAAUUAAGAAAAACAGAGAAUUGAAAAAGAGAGUGAAAGCAUACUUUCUCUUUUUUCUCCAAACCUCAAACCCUCUUCUUUCCACCAGUAGUGCACCUCUUGUGCAAAGAAUUCCUAGAAAUACCUGAAACACAACAAACAAACGCAUUAGAUACGGUAUUGCAAUUGAAUUCUGUGAAAGCAUAAAAAAAUUUGGCAGGUGCCGUGGAAGCUCCACUGGGAAAGGGCUUCUUCUUCUUCUUCCUUUUUUCCAAAAGAUAAUUUGUUUCUUCUUCAAGAUUAAGUUGGUACAACUUCUUUGAAUCAAUUAUUAUAAAAUGAACAAUUUUAAGAGAAUUAUUACAAUGAUUUUACCGACAAUGAUUUACAACAACAUUUAGAUCAGAAACAAAGUGAAUUAAUUGGUUAGCAAUUCAACAUCAUCUCAAAAUACAAGGAGAAAGAAAAUCUGGAAAAGACAGAACAGGGGAAGCCGACGAUGCAGGGACUCACCAACUGACUACGGUCUACGGCUACGGCAAGGUCCCAAAACCAGAAGACGACGAGGAUCCCAGGAAAGGCCGCGACACGUGGAGACGCCGGCGAGUGUGACUGAGACGAGAUUCGAGUGAGACUGAAAGAGACGAGUGGGCUAGUGUGAGAGAGAAGAGAGAGUUUCAGUCAGAAUUGAGAGAGACGUUAUAUUUGAGAGAGAUGUAAGAAAACCCAGGAAAGAUAAAGAACACUAGAACAGUUAUUUUGAAUUUUUUUUUGUUUUUUAGAUAUGUUCUUUUUUUUUUUGUAUGAAUGAACAUCAGAAAUUAAGGUUUAUAAAGGAGUGUAAGCAUUGACUGUACAUCAAUAAUCAAUCAGAUGUUGUUUUAUUUUUAAAUUAUUUAAAUUUAUAAAUAUAAGUUAGCUCAAUUUUAAAAUUUGAUUAAUUUAAAGAGAUAAAUUUUGUCCAACACAAAGAAAAGGAUUUUAGGUCUUUUUAUAAAAUUAAAUAAAAAAAUACUAUGCGCAGUCAGGUUGCAGGUUGCAGCGAUAUUGGCGUGGGAUGCAUCCGACAGGCUAUGGGAUACAGCGACGCGGGAUGAGAUUGUGGCGGCGUGCACGGACAGCGGCCGAACGGCGUUAGGAAAAACGGCAGUGUUUGAUGUAUCGAAAUAACCGUCUCCAGUACCGACGACGAGUUUUGGGAGUGGACCUAGACCGAUUCAAGAUAUAAUUUAUCGAUUUUUUGGCCAAAUUAAUUUAUUUAAUCUAAUUUUGAUAAAAAUAACAUAGUUUCAUCAAUUAUAUAUAUUAAAUUUUAAUUAUUUAAAAAUAUUCCUUUUAAACGUAUUUGAGUGACUUUCCCAACAAAUAUAUUUUAUCCUUUUUUAAUUCCUUUUUGCAUGGAGCAAGAAGCCCCUAUCCUCAUGUGCAGGCAUUUCACUGAGGGACCUCACAGCCUUUAACUUUCCAGUGCUUUCCUAGCUUUUUGCUGCCGCAGCACCACCGAUCUCGUUAGAUCGGAGAGAGUGAUGGCGGAAUUGGAUGCUGCUGAAUCAGAAAAACGACAAACGGAGCAGGUUGAAAUGGCGAAGGAAGCGUGCCUUUGCCUUGUGUCGUAUGAAAAGUUGUUCGUGAUCAAACUAAGCAAUUUAAAGAAACAAGAAGUUGAUGUCAAAGAUUGGACUUGUUUGCCUCCACCACUGUUCGAUUUCGAGUUGAAACUUCCAGAGCCUGAUUUGUGUCCUUUCGAGUUCGACUCCAAGAUCUAUAUGGCAGUGUCCUCGGAGCCGGGUAGACUUGGGAUUGCGAGGAUCUCCUGGCCAAUCUACGAAUUCAAAUUUGGGGAGCGCAGAAUUGAGCGUGCAGAAUCACUGGAUGAUGCACCGCUCCCUUUUCACGAAGCAUUCAUCGCAAACACGCCAGGCUCAGGCGAUGUUUACUUCUAUAUGGAAUCACAGGUCAAAGAUUCAUCUGGCUCUUACGUCCUUUGUUCUGGAUCUAGAGUUUGGAAACCGUUAAUCGCUCCUCCUACUGUCAGCGACUCAAUUCGAUAUAGCAUGUUCGUCGUCGACAACAACCUCUUUUUUUCAUCGAGGGAAAGGGGAAGGGGAAGAGACACCUGUUUGGCCCGCUUCGACCCCAUAAAAGAGAAUUGGACGACCGAACCCGCCUCUGUUAACAAUCUUUCGAACUUCAUAAAGGAUAGGCUCAUUACCGGUGAUAACUACGGUCUUAUUACUUAUCACCCACACAUUUCUGUGUCCCUUCCGGGUCUUGGCAGCAGCAACUACACCGUUUGCCUUACAAAUGAAUAUGUGUUGGAACCUCCUAAGGAACCUUUAGACAAGGUCUUUGCCAUUCUCGUUAACCACCAGAAUGGCCGUGUCGCAUUAUAUCAAUACCUUGAUGUAUGUUUUGAGGGUAUUCAACCCACUGUGGCAGAAUUGGGCAGAUUCAAUUUGAUUGACCUUGGCAACGGGAAGCUGUGUGCAAUACUCUCUGGGGGUCUAGUUUAUUCCAAAUCUAAUUCAUCUGUGCUCUGCUUCUCAGUUUUCACACUGUCCGUGGACUUUGCAGCAUUGCAAUUUGACAGUGGGGCUCCUCCCAUGGAGCGAGAUUUCUUACAAGUGACGGUCCAUAGGAAGAGUGUCUUCACCAUGGAGGACUGUGGGCUUACUAAUCAUAUGCGCCAUGCGUUUGUUUGGCCACCUACUAAGGGAGGAAGAUUUCAGCACAGGACAACUAUGUCAUAGUAACAUUUCUUGUUAUUUCUUGUGGCUUGUUAUUAUCCUUAGUCGUUUUCAAUAGGAUUACCAAUGAACAAUGAAUUAAAUAUUAAUGUCUUUCAGUAAUAUAAUCUUGGUUGAAUUGUGUCUAUAUUCUCUUUUGCUCGUCAUACAAAAUUACCUGUGCUUUCUGAGAUAUUUGCAUUAUUGCUGCUGAUCAUAUUAAAUGAUCAACUCACUGCUUUCUAUUUCAAAAUACAUGAUGCAUUUUAAAUAAUUAAUUGAACUAAUAGUCCACACGUAUUAUGUCAAAAGAAACAUGUUUCACAUAAAAUUAGAAUGACUCUUGUUUGAAAAAAUUAGUUUAAAAAUUUGAUUUGAGUCAUUUAUAAUAUUGUCGAUUGAUUAUAUUAUUGAUUAGAUUAAGAAAAUAAGAAAAUAAAAAGAAUGUCCAAGUUACAAAAAUUCAAAUCAAGUUUCUAAAUGAUUGAAGGGAAAUAAUGAUGUUAUUUUUAGUUUUUUUUUUAAUGUCAUUCCUGACAUGAUUUUUUUAUUUAUAUGUUUGUAACUUUGUAUAAAUUUAAGGGAAAAAGUAACAUUAUCAGAAUAGGUCAUGUUCCUAAACAAAAUAAGCUAAUGUGGUGGUCAGUUUUAAUGGAAGUGCUAUAGAGGGGUUCUAUGAGUCUAUUCUUUCAAAGAUGAUCAUUGCUACAAAAUAUAAUGAUACAUGCAUAUGGAGUAAAGAAAUUUACAAGUCUCAUUCAUAUAUGAUAAUGUACUACUCUGUACAGAGCCCCAAACUAAAACAAAAGACAGGGAAGCAAAAAGUUAAGAACAAGAAGUGGAAACCUAAAAUCUGAUGGGUGACUUUAUCAACAUUUUCUUCCAAUACAUAUUUCACAUAACCAAACCAUUAUCUCCAGCACAAGCAACAUAGUUUAGUGUAGUCAGUUCUAUUCAAAAUCUAUUAUUUGUUGUACAAUGAAUUUCAGCUUCAAAAGGCAUUUGAGUCAUCAAAGGUGAAUUCCCCAUGUAAGCACAUCUGGUUCUGCAUGUAGACAUAAACAUUUAAGUUCCAAUUCACUUGCCCCUGGCCACGUAUCUGUGAAAAUGGAAAUCCAUUUUGCAUCUUGCAAGUCAUGACUGACAGGGCCGUUUCGGUUCAGGCUGAUGUUCCGACUUCUGACCUAUCCACGUUAUCACAUCUUCUAACAAACUGGUCAAGAGUUCUCUGCCUUGAAGGGCUAUGCUCAAUAGUAGUAUGCUUUGCAGGGCUACUCAAUGGCUGAUUAUUUGGCACAACUAAGGUGUUCUCAUGGCCAUCUAACAUCUGAUUUUUCAAUAACUAAAAUUCACAAUGGUUUCUCAAAAACAUCAAAAAGUAACUCUCAAAUACUACUUGAGUAUAAAUCUUGACAAAUAUAAAUAUAAACCAGAUUAGAAACCUUGAAACUAAGCGUUAUGUAUAUUUUGCAUUACAUAU
rnacentral:lncRNA from 1 species